rfam:Schistosoma rodhaini strain Burundi genome assembly, scaffold: SROB_scaffold0003221
GCACUGCCGAGGAGUCCCUUAAUAAGACGAAACGGUCGUCCAGUGC